AUUGAACGCUGCGGCAUGCUUUACACAUGCAAGUCGAACGGUAACAGGGUGCUUGCACCGCUGACGAGUGGCGAACGGGUGAGUAAUGCGUCGGAACGUGCCGAGUAGUGGGGGAUAACGCAUCGAAAGGUGUGCUAAUACCGCAUACGUACUGAGGUAGAAAGUGGGGGACCUUCGGGCCUCACGCUAUUCGAGCGGCCGACGUCUGAUUAGCUAGUUGGUGAGGUAAAGGCUCACCAAGGCGACGAUCAGUAGCGGGUCUGAGAGGAUGAUCCGCGACACGGGGACUGGGACACGGCCCAGACUCCUACGGGAGGCAGCAGUGGGGAAGUUUGGACAAUGAGGGCAAGCAUGCUCCAGCCAUGCCGCGCGUCUGAAGAAGGCCUUCGGGUUGUAAAGGACUUUUGUCCGGGAGCAAAUACCCAGUGCUAAUAACGCUGGGGGCUGAGAGUACCGGAAGAAUAAACACCGGCUAACUACGUGCCAGCCACCGCCGUAACAC
rnacentral:rRNA from 1 species